rnacentral:tRNA from 1 species
UCCCUGAUAGCUCAGUUGGUAAAGAAUCUGCCUGCAAUGCAGAAGACCCUCGUUCAAUUCCUGGGUUGGGAA